rnacentral:lncRNA from 1 species
UUCAAUUCCCCAACAAUUAAAUAUCUUAUAAAAUAGUUAAUAAUCACAUAACUAAAUGAAUUUUGAAAAAACAAAUUGAUAAAUGCAAAGAUAUAAUUCAAAAUAUUUUAUUCCAAAACCUACGCACACAAAAAAAAGUAUGAUUACUUUAAAAAUUCGAAAUCAAAUCUGGACGUAUGUGCUAUUUAGAAGAGCAAGUCCUAUUAGAAACUCAAAUUCAGGUACUUUUGGUGAAAGAAACUUUUGUCGGAGGAAAUGCCUCGAAAAUUUAUCAUUAUCUAGUCCUCAGAGUCUCGUGGAACAUCCACCUCAUUGCAUGAAGAAUAUUAAUUUGAUCAAUGAGAAUGAACUACAGAGAAUAAAGAUUCGAGUCGUCUGUAUGAAAGAUACCAAAGGAAAAACUUCAAUGCAUGGGAACAACUGUUGUCAGAAUUCCUCUCAUGAAGUCAAUUUUGUAUAUGACAUAUUUCAGGACAUUUUUGAAUAUGAGGAACACAAAGUAGAUGACGGAAAAUGUAAUAAUUAGUCCUCCUUUUCAGACUCCGAGCACCGUGUUUGAAAGUGGAGGGUCCAAUACCUAUAAUUAAAAAAAAUCCCCCUCUUUUUGCUGCUUUAUAUAAUUGUAAAUUCUCAAAAAUUGUUGAGGCCCCUAUUUUUGGUGUAGAUUAUUCUAACUUAUAAAAAAGGAGCGCUUGAACUGUUCCUUCUAUUUAGUUGAAUUGUUAAAUAUUGAAUAAUAGACAUAUAUGUAAGUAUUUUAUGAUGAGUGAUGCAAAUGAAUAUUUUAUCAAAGUAUUCCUAAUAUACUUUUACCUGGCUACAUGCGUAUUCGUUAUAUAAUGAAUAAGAGAUUUUUAUGCAAUUUUUAUUUA